rfam:Myotis davidii contig102036, whole genome shotgun sequence.
GAUGGUUCUUGUGUGACGCACCCCAGAAUUGGACUCCCUCCUCUCUGGUUCGAGGGUGCACCUGAGAACUGCC